UGGGGAAUAUUGGACAAUGGAGGGAACUCUGAUCCAGCAAUUCUGUGUGUGUGAAGAAGGUUUUAGGACUGUAAAACACUUUUAGUAGGGAAGAAAAAAAUGACGGUACCUACAGAAGAAGCAACGGCUAAAUACGUGCCAGCAGCCGCGGUAAUACGUAUGUUGCGAGCGUUAUCCGGAAUUAUUGGGCUUAAAGGGCAUCUAGGCGGUAAGACAAGUUGAAGGUGAAAACCUGUGGCUCAACCAUAGGCUUGCCUACAAAACUGUUGAACUAGAGUACUGGAAAGGUGGGUGGAACUACACGAGUAGAGGUGAAAUUCGUAGAUAUGUGUAGGAAUGCCGAUGAUGAAGAUAACUCACUGGACAGCAACUGACGCUGAAGUGCGAAAGCGAGGGGAGCAAACAGG
rnacentral:rRNA from 1 species